rnacentral:rRNA from 1 species
AACGAACGCUGGCGGCAUGCCUAACACAUGCAAGUCGAACGAACCCUUCGGGGUUAGUGGCGCACGGGUGCGUAACGCGUGGGAAUCUGCCCUUUGCUUCGGAAUAACUCAGGGAAACUUGUGCUAAUACCGGAUGAUGUCUUCGGACCAAAGAUUUAUCGGCAAGGGAUGAGCCCGCGUAGGAUUAGGUAGUUGGUGGGGUAAAGGCCUACCAAGCCGACGAUCCUUAGCUGGUCUGAGAGGAUGAUCAGCCACACUGGGACUGAGACACGGCCCAGACUCCUACGGGAGGCAGCAGUGGGGAAUAUUGGACAAGGGGCGCAAGCCUGAUCCAGCAAUGCCGCGUGAGUGAUGAAGGCCCUCGGGUCGUAAAGCUCUUUUACCAGGGAUGAUAAUGACAGUACCUGGAGAAUAAGCUCCGGCUAACUCCGUG